rnacentral:lncRNA from 13 species
AUGAUCGAGCCAAUAGGACUAACAAGGUUUGUGUCCAUGCAUCUCAUUGGUCCAUCUUUCUCUCAGGGUGUUCCUGGUUCUUCUGGGCUUAAAGGUGAUGCCGGAGACCCUGGUCCUCAGGGUCGUGGUGGAGCAGUUGGCGCCCGAGGAAUGCCUGGAGAGUCGGGGUCUAAGGGAGACGGAGGCUUCGAUGGCCUGCCCGGCCUACCUGGUGCCAAGGGACACAGGGUGAGCAACAGUAACGUAUCAAGCACCUGCAUGUGUACCGCUCCCUAAAUGAGAAGGCUGUUCUGAAAUGAAUGGUUGAGAUCCUUUAUCCUUCAAGGAAAUGCCCGGUGAAGCAAACAGGAAACUCCAUGUGACCGACCGGCUUGAUUCGGUCUUAUGUAGAACAUUUUUUUUAACUUACGUUGGAUAAAAGUAGAGACUCAGAGCUAGAAAAUGAUAGAUCAUACACUAUAGUUGAGGAGCAAUGUGAAAGUAAUUGUGCUUUGAAACUUGAUACACUUGUAAACCCACUUUUGAGAAAAUGGCCCUUGAAUGUUUUGGUAAACCUACUGGAGAUCUCCUUGUUGUCUACACCCAUUCAGCAUAGUUCACACCUUCUUAAGCCUUAGCCACACCCAUCUCUUUAAGGAUUCACAUGUGAGGCCAUGUACAG